AACGGCCAUACCAUGCUGAAUAUACCGGUUCUCGUUAGAUCACCAAAGUCAAGUCAUUGGGCUCGGUCAGUACUUGGGUGGGUGAUCACCUGGGAACACCGCGUGCUGU
rnacentral:rRNA from 1 species